GGAUGUAAGGGUGAUCUGGCUGCGACAUCUGUCACCCCAUUGAUCGCCAGGGUUGAUUCGGCUGAUCUGGCUGGCUAGGCGGGUGUCCCCUUCCUUCCUCACCGCUCCAUGUGCGUCCCUCCUGAAGUUGCGCGCUCAGUCGAAGAGGACGACCAUCCCCGCUAGAGGAGGACUGGUCUUCGGUCAAGGGUAUACGAGUAGCUGCACUCCCGUGCUAGAACCUCCAAACAAGCUCUCAAAGAACAUCUUUAUUUCUGCCUUCAUUUCGUUAUUUACCCAGUAGUCAUUCAGGAGCAGGUUGUUCAGUUUCCAUGUAGUUAUGCAGUUUUGAGUGAGUUUCUU
ensembl:misc_RNA 7SK 7SK RNA